GGCGGCGGCCUAACACAUGCAAGUCGAACGGUAACAGGAAACAGCUUGCUGUUUCGCUGACGAGUGGCGGACGGGUGAGUAAUGUCUGGGAAACUGCCUGAUGGAGGGGGAUAACUACUGGAAACGGUAGCUAAUACCGCAUAACGUCGCAAGACCAAAGAGGGGGACCUUCGGGCCUCUUGCCAUCGGAUGUGCCCAGAUGGGAUUAGCUUGUUGGUGGGGUAACGGCUCACCAAGGCGACGAUCCCUAGCUGGUCUGAGAGGAUGACCAGCCACACUGGAACUGAGACACGGUCCAGACUCCUACGGGAGGCAGCAGUGGGGAAUAUUGCACAAUGGGCGCAAGCCUGAUGCAGCCAUGCCGCGUGUAUGAAGAAGGCCUUCGGGUUGUAAAGUACUUUCAGCGGGGAGGAAGGGAGUAGAGUUAAUACCUUUGCUCAUUGACGUUACCCGCAGAAGAAGCACCGGCUAACUCCGUGCCAGCAGCCGCGGUAAUACGGAGGGUGCAAGCGUUAAUCGGAAUUACUGGGCGUAAAGCGCACGCAGGCGGUUUGUUAAGUCAGAUGUGAAAUCCCCGGGCUCAACCUGGGAACUGCAUCUGAUACUGGCAAGCUUGAGUCUCGUAGAGGGGGGUAGAAUUCUAGGUGUAGCGGUGAAAUGCGUAGAGAUCUGGAGGA
rnacentral:rRNA from 1 species